ensembl:lncRNA
GAAAAAAAGAGGUAUCAGGUUGUUUAAAUGCUUUGGCAGCUUGUCCCCUGGGUCAGCUGAAGCCCUCAUUGCCCGGUUGUUGACUGAGACAGGUUCAGCAGGAGCUCAACGCAUUCCAUCUUCUCUAUGUGUUUAUGUUCCAGCAGGCCGGGCUUUGAGCUGCCAGUGGGUGACUCAGAGGCCAGAGUUUGUUCUGUUCUGUUCUUGCUGAGGCAGCCGGAGUCCCCUCUGCAUGACCCUCCUAAUACCUGUCCCCUAUUGAGGCCACCUUGGCCACUAACUGCUCAGUGGCUCAGUUCAAGAACCCACCUGCAGUGCAGGAGCCGCAGGAGACUCGGGUUCCAUCCCUGGGUCAGGAAGAUCCUCUGGAGGAGGAAAUGGCAACCCACUCCAGUAUUCUUGCCUGGAAAAUCCCAUGGACUGUAGUGGGCUACAGUCCAUGGGGUCACAAAGAGUCAGACUCGACUGAGCACACACGAAAACAUAUGCACACUGCUCUAAGCCCAGUGCAGCUCACCAGCCAACAGAACAGAGGCAAAGGGAGAGUGGUGGGAGGGGAACCUCCAGGUGGGCACCUGCGCACUUGGACAGGAGACCCAAGUGCUCGAGGGAGACGGAGUACUGCUGUGUAACGAACCAGCCCAGACCCUAAUGGCUUAAGAAUAAUCGUGUAUUCUGCCACAAACCUAAGCUGAGCAGGACUCAGCGGGGAUGGCUUCUCUGUGCUCCAUGCGGCCUCUGGGGCAACUCAACUAGAAUCCACUUUCAAGAUGGUGCAUCACGCAGCCAACAAGUUAGCGCUGGCUACCAGCUAGGAGCUUUGAUUCCUCAUCACAAGGACUGCUCACUCCACAGGGCUUUCUGGACUUCACAACCCAGAGGCUGAAUUCCCAGGGCGAGUGCCCCCAGAAUCAGACCAGUGUCUCGAAUCCUGGGCCUGGAACCUGGCCCAGUGUCACAUUCAUUCUAGCCUAUGGGUACGUCAGUCUCAGAACCUCAGAUUUAAGAGGGUACGGACACAGCAUCACAAAAGAACAUUAAAUUCGUAGAGAAGUGACAAGACAAAGGAGAAGUACUCUGAGCUUCUAGGAGUGGCAAAUUGUGGAAAGGCUGGACUCAGCACCUUAGAGACAGACUCAGGAACUGAUCAUCUGUGGACCACCUGUGUGUGCCCUGUAGCCAAAGACCACCAAGAACAAAGUUGGGUUUACUGAUCUUUUGCAGGGAGGGAGGCUGUGUACAUGCAGAUAAGGAGUCAUGGGGCCUCUCAGCACAAGGGACUUAGAACAGAACAUGGACUUGUGUUAAGUGGUGUGUGGGAAGUUUCAAGGAAGCAGGGGUUUGCUCUGGAUCGAAUGGUGUCAGGAAGCAGGAUUCUACCACCAGGAACUUUGGUUUUUAUACAGAAGGUGAGAUGAAGGCAUCAGACCUAAAGCCGUGGUUGUGAAGAGACAGCUGUCACUUGGGUUAGUUGAGUGAUUUCUCUCGUGUGGUCAGAGGCUUAGUUUGUCCCUGUGCUCAGACAUGACUACAGAAUGGUCUUGUUUUGUCAGGCUUGUCUGAAGUUGGUGAUGGGUGAGACUAGCUCUGUUUGAGAGGAGAACGUGGCACCUAGCUCUGAGUGCCUGGCUGGUGGGAGCUUGAUGCCAGGGACUACUUUCGUCUUUGUCAUUACAAACGCAAAGCUUUGAUCCUCCAGUUCCAGUCUUCUUUAUAUCCUAGUCCUGUAUCUUCAUGAUGGGAUAAGGAUCCUCACAUUUGAAGAGGAGGAGGAGGGACGGAUGAGAAUGAGGAGGGGGAUUUGCUUAUGGUGGGGGUGGGGUAAAAUAGUGUCUUAGCUUAGAGGAUUCAUAUCUCUGUAACCUAAAUGGAUCCAGGAUUCCAUUCCUCUGCCUGAAUAGAAUGAUAUUCCAAAGCCAUAUUAAGCAGACAAGGGAAGGAAUUAGGAUAACCUUUGUAUUGUAGGUGCCUUGUGAAUUACUGGAGGAAGUUCCAGGUCGAAGGGUGGGGCAGGCAUAAGAAGUGGCCA